rnacentral:rRNA from 1 species
GACGGGACCCCGCACAAGCGGUGGAUCAUGUUGUUUAAUUCGAUGAUACGCGAAGAACCUUACCAGGUCUUGACAUCCCCCGCGAUGCUUUAGAGAUAAAGCGGAGGUAUUCGGGGAGACAGGUGGUGCAUGGUUGUCGUCAGCUCGUGUCGUGAGAUGUUGGGUUAAGUCCCGCAACGAGCGCAACCCCUAUUGCUAGUUACCAUCAUUAAGUUGGGGACUCUAGCGAGACUGCCAGUGAUAAACUGGAGGAAGGUGGGGAUGACGUCAAAUCAUCAUGCCCCUUAUGACCUGGGCUACAAACGUGAUACAAUGGCUGGAACAAAGGGACGCGAAGCAGUGGUGUGGAGCGAAACCCAUAAAAACAGUCUCAGUUCGGAUUGAAGUCUGCAACUCGACUUCAUGAAGUCGGAAUCGCUAGUAAUCGCGGAUCAGAACGCCGCGGUGAAUACGUUCUCGGGGUUU